rnacentral:rRNA from 1 species
ACGAGAGUUUACUCUAGUGGCGAACGGGUGCGUAAUACGUGAGAAUCUGCCCUUAGGAGGAGAAUAACCAUUGGAAACGGUGGCUAAAUCUGCAUAUGCCGAGAGGUGAAAUAGUUUAGACUGCCUAAGGAUGAGCUCGCGCCUGAUUAGCUUGUUGGUGAGGUAACGGCUUACCAAGGCCACGAUCAGUAGCUGGUUUGAGAGAACGAUCAGCCACACUGGGACUGAGACACGGCCCAGACUCCUCCGGGAGGCAGCAGUGAGGAAUCUUCCGCAAUGGGCGAAAGCCUGACGGAGCAAUACCGCGUGAGGGAUGAAGGAUUUUGGUCUGUAAACCUCUUUUCUCAAGAAAGAAGUUCUGACGGUACUUGAGGAAUAAGCGUCGGCUAACUCCGUGCCAGCAGCCGCGGUAAUACGGGGGAUGCAAGCGUUAUCCGGAAUCAUUGGGCGUAAAGCGCCUGUAGGUUGUUUAGUAAGUCUGUUGUUAAAGACUAAGGCUUAACCUUAGGAAAGCGAUGGAAACUACUAGACUUGAGUAUGGCAGGGGUAGAGGGAAUUUCUAGUGUAGCGGUGAAAUGCGUAGAUAUUAGAAAGAACACCAGCGGCGAAAGCGCUCUACUGGACCAUUACUGACACUCAGAGGCGAAAGCUAGGGGAGCAAAAGGGAUUAGAUACCCCUGUAGUCCUAGCCGUAAACGAUGGAUACUAGGUGUUGUGUAUACUAUACAGUGCCGUAGCUAACGCGUUAAGUAUCCCGCCUGGGGAGUACGCUCGCAAGGGUGAAACUCAAAGGAAUUGACGGGGGCCCGCACAAGCGGUGGAGCAUGUGGUUUAAUUCGAUGCAACGCGAAGAACCUUACCAGGGCUUGACAUACUGCAAAUCUUUUUUAAACGAAAGAGUGCCUUCGGGAAUGCAGAUACAGGUGGUGCAUGGCUGUCGUCAGCUCGUGUCGUGAGAUGUUGGGUUAAGUCCCGCAACGAGCGCAACCCUCGUUUUUAGUUACCAAUUUAUUGGAAUCUCUAGAAAGACUGCCGGUGACAAACCGGAGGAAGGUGAGGAUGACGUCAAGUCAGCAUGCCCCU